AACAUUGAACAAGCGUUAAUUGUUUACUGAUUCCUGUUAAAAUAAUUUUAUAAUAAAAAACAUUAAACGGCCAAUGAAAACACACGAUAUACUUUAUUUUAUCAUCUUCUUUAUAACAAUAGCAAUAAUCACCGUCAUCAUCAAAUCAUUAUUCCCAUUUGGUUCAAUUUAUUACGUUAAUGUUAAUAUCGUAAACAGUUUGAAGCGUUAACUUUAAAGCCGUUUGUGUAUUAAUCAAAUACAGUUUCAGUUAACCUUUAUACUUGUUGCCUUGUGGCCGUACGUUUGUUUGAUUUACAACUCAAGCUUUUCAAAGACGAGAUUCAUCCCGCUAUCUUCAAUGGACGCAAUACUUGAACUAUCGGACUGACUGCAGCCAUCAAUGGAUCAAAUAAAAGUCAAUUUAAAUGUAUAAUGAAUCAAUGGAAAGCAUAAUUGCUGUUGAAUAUUCGUCUAUUUGACGUUAAUGUUUUACAUUCAAUUUUGAAUUGUUUUCAAUAAUUUGCGAAACAGUUGUUUAUUGUAAACGUCUGUUUAGUCAAUUAAUUUGGAAUUGAAUUGAU